CAGUCGCCGCGGAAAUACGUAGGUGGCAAGCGUUGUCCGGAAUUAUUGGGCGUAAAGGGCUCGCAGGCGGUUUCUUAAGUCUGAUGUGAAAGCCCCCGGCUCAACCGGGGAGGGUCAUUGGAAACUGGGAAACUUGAGUGCAGAAGAGGAGAGUGGAAUUCCACGUGUAGCGGUGAAAUGCGUAGAGAUGUGGAGGAACACCAGUGGCGAAGGCGACUCUCUGAUCUGUAACUGACGCUGAGGAGCGAAAGCGUGGGGAGCGAACAGGAUUAGAUACCCGUGUAGUCCCUGUCUCUUAUAC
rnacentral:rRNA from 1 species